UGAAAUUAAAGAUUUUUUUUUGUUAAAAUUAGGUGUCGAUUUCUAUAAUUUGAAAAGCAUAUAUGAGAUCAUAUCAUCAUACUAAAACUAACAGAUUAAGAGAAAAUAAAAAUAAAAAACAAAACGAAAACAGUAGUGCUACGUGCAUACGUCCAAAUUAACUCUCGUGCUUCUACCACAGAGACCUACAACUUUAGUAAACAGUUGCUCCCUCGAGAUAAAACACAAUAUUGCUUCAUCAGAACAAAUUAGACUAAGGGGUUAUUUGUUAAAUAUCUGAAGUCUGAAAUUUUAUUAAUUUCAGACAUUUUCUAAAAU
rnacentral:lncRNA from 1 species